GACGAACGCUGGCGGCGUGCUUAACACAUGCAAGUCGAACGGAAAGGCCCUGCUUUUGUGGGGUUCUCGAGUGGCGAACGGGUGAGUAACACGUGAGUAACCUGCCCUUGACUUUGUGAUAACUUCAGGAAACUGGGGCUAAUACCGGAUAGGAUCUCCUGCUGCAUGGUGGGGGUUGGAAAGUGUCGGCGGUUGGGGAUGGACUCGCGGCUUAUGAGCUUGUUGGUGUGGUAGUGGCUUACCAAGGCUUUGACGGGUAGCCGGCCUGAGAGGGUGGACGGCGACAUUGGGACUGCGAUACGGACCAGAAUCGUAUGGGAGGCAGCAGUGGGGAAUAUUGCACAAUGGGCGGAAGCCUGAUGCAGAAACGCCGCGUGCGGGAUGACGGCCUUCGGGUGGUAAACAGCUUUCGCCUGUGACGAAGAGUGAGUGACGGUAAUGGGUAAAGAAGCACCGGCUAACUACGUG
rnacentral:rRNA from 1 species